GAGGGUAGAGUGAGAGGGCUCAGGGAGAGGGCGGAGAGAGAGGCCAAAGGGAGAGGGCAGAGAGAUGAUAGGUAAAGAUAGUCAAGGACAAAAAGGGAAGGACAGAAGACAGGAAAGAUUUGCGUGAAGAAAAGACGGGAAAAAAGGGGGCGGAGGUCAGGCUGCCUUACGAGAAUUCGUAGGCGAUUGAGUAAACUCCCACUGCCAUCUCUUCUAUUGGCCAACGUGCAAUCAUUGGAAAAUAAAAUAGAUGACCUACGAUCAAGAUUAUACUACCAACAGGACAUUAAAAAUUGUAAUAUCUUAUGUUUCACCAAGUCGUGGCUGAACGACGACACGGAUAAUAUAGAGCUGGUGGGAUUUUCCAUGCACCGGCAGGACAGAGAAGCUACAGGGGGUGGGGUGUGUGUCUAUUUGUCAAUAACACCUGGUGCGCGAUGUCAAAUAUUAAAGAAGUCUCGAGGUAUUGCUCGCCUGAGAUAAAGUACCUUAUGAUAAGCUGUAGACCACACUAUCUAACAAGAGAGUUCUCAUCUAUAUUAUUCAUAGCCAUCUAUUUACCACCACAAACCGAUGCUGGCAAUAAGAUCGCACUCAACCAACUCUGUAAGGCCAUAAGCAAACAAGAAAAUGCUCAUCCAGAAGCGACACUCCUAGUAGCAAGGGACUUUACUGCAGGCCAACUUAAAUCCGUUUUAUCUCAUUUUUACCACCAUGUCACAUGUACAACCAGAGGGGAAAAAACUCUAGACCACCUUUACUCCACACACAGAGACUCAUACAAAGCUCUCCCUCGCCCUCCAUUUGGCAAAUCUGACCAUAAUUCUAUCCUCCUGAUUCCUGCUUACAAGCAGGAGACACCUGAAAUCCCACCUCUUUAAGGAAUACCUAGGAUAGGAUAAAGUAAUCCUUCUCCCCCUCCCCCCCCCUUAAAAGACCUAGAUGCACUAUUGUAAAGUGGCUGUUCCACUGGAUGUCAUAAGGUGAAAGCACCAAUUUGUAAGUCGCUCUGGAUAAGAGCGUCUGCUAAAUGACUUAAAUGUAAAUGUAAAUGUAAAAACUAAGAAGGAAAUACAAGUGACUCGCUCAAUACGGAAGUGGUCAGAUACAGGACUGUUUUGCCUGCACAUAUUGAGUUUCUCCUAUUCUUCUCUGCAGAUCCUCUCAAGGUCUGUCAGGUCGUAUGGGGAGCGUCGUUGCACAGCUUUUUUCAGGUCUCUCCAGAAAUGUUAGAUCUGGUUCAAGUCCAGGCUCUGGCUGGGCCACUCAGGGACAUUCAGAGGUCCUGGGCAAUCUGGAGCAGGUUUUCAUCAAGGAUCUCUCUGCACUAUGCUCCGUUCAUCUUUGCCUCGAUCCUGACUAGUCUCUCAGUCCCUGCCACUGAUAAACAUCCCCACAGCAUGAUGCUGCCACCGCCAUGCUUCACCGUAGGGAUGGUGCCAGGUUUCCUCCAGAUGUGACACUGUUCAUCAAGGCAAAGGAGCUUCCACUCACUCCAUCCACCACCACCACUUCCAAAUGAACCUGAUCGUGAGUGUUGCAUUACAGCCAUUUUGUGUCUGAGGGAAGCCCAAUACUGUACAGUUUCUUACUUUACCCCUCCUUGGUCUAAAACUGCAACCUCACAAAAUGAUAGUGUUAUCUUUUAAUUAAAGGUCUCUAAAGUUGCUGUUGUAGAAACUCACACAUAGAUACACACCUACACACACUCUCUCUCACUCCUGUUCUCUCUCUCUCCUGUUCUCUCUCUCUCCUGUUCUCUCUUUCUCCUGUUCUCUCUCUCUCUCCUGUUCUCUCUCUCUCUCUCUCUCUCUCUCUCUCCUGUUUCUCUCUCUCUCUCUCUCUCUCUCUCCUGUUCUCUCUCUCUCCUGUUCUCUUUCUCUCCUGUUCUCUCUCUCUCCUGUUCUCUCUCUCUCUCUCUCUCUCUCUCUCUCUCUCUCUCUCUCUAAUUCAACAGGCUUUAUUGGCAUGGGAAACAGAUGUUUACAUAGCCAAAGCAAGUGAAAUAGAUAAUAAACAAAAGUCUCUGUCUCUCUCUCCAGGCGUUGAAUCAGUCUUUGGUCACUGCUUCCACAGGAAAAGAGGGGGAGAGAGACAGUUGUCCAACCGAAUCCAUUCAACUCAAAUGUGUCUUCUGCAUUUAACACAACCUCUGAAUCAGAGAGGUGCGUGGGGCUGCCUUAAUCGACAUCCACGUCUUUGGCACCCGGGGAACAGUGGGUUAACUGCCUUGUUCAGGGGCAGAACGACAGAUUUUUACCUUUUCAGCUCAGGGAUUCAAUCUAGCAACCUUUUGGUUACUGGCCCAAUGCUCUAAUCACUAGGCUACCUGCCUCUAACCACUAGGCUACCUGCCUCUAACCACUAGGCUACCUGCCUCUGACUUUUAUCUCCCUCACCAACUUUAAACAUCUGCUAUCUGAGCAGCUGCAGCUGUACAUAGUCCAUCGGUAAAUAGCCCACCCAAUUCACCUACCUCAUCCCCAUACUGUUUUUAUUUAUUUACUUGUCUGCUCUUUUGCACACCAGUAUCUCUACCUGUACAUGACCAUCUGAUCAUUUAUCACUCCAGUGUUAAUCUGCUAAAUUGUAAUUAUUCGCCUACCUCCUCAUGCCUUUUGCACACAAUGCAUAUAGACUCUCUCUUUUUUUCUUUUUUUUUUCUACUGUGUUAUUGACUUGUUAAUUGUUUACUCCAUGUGUAACUCUGUGUUGCUGUCUGUUCACACUGCUAUGCUUUAUCUUGGCCAGGUCGCAGUUGUAAAUUAGAACUUGUUCUCAACUAGCCUACCUGGUUAAAUAAAGGUGAAAUAAAAUAAAUAAAAACCACUAGGCUACCAUAGCAGAGAAAAUAGGAGAUCAACCCUC